CCCGCGCGCGGCCUGCCUCCUCGGGGCCGGUGGAUAGCCGGGCGCCGGCCGGGGCACCCCCAGCGUAGUGGGAAAUGACACCCCGGCCGGGCCCCCUGAAGCCAGGUCGUUUCCGUGCUCAGCAGUGUCGCUGUGGGUCUUUAUGAUUUUUGUGUUCUUUUUAAGAAACGGCCCCUUUUCCUUGGGCCCUGUGCUCAGGAUGAAUGCCCCUCCCAGGUGGGCCCCCUGCAUCUGGGAGCAGCGACCCCGGGGCCUGCACACUGAGCCCAAGGCUGAGAGACAUCAGCUUGCAGCUGGACGCCGCCUGGAGAAAGCAGGCCAGGCCUGGGAUGGCAGAGUCCACCUGUCCCCACCUGCAGUUGUCCAGACUCCCAGCUGGCCCCUCUGGGCCUCUCAAGGCACCGGCUCAUCAGAUUGCUCUUGUGUCUCCCCACCUCCUGCCCUGCCCCCACCAGAAGGAAGAGCACCAGAUGAGUUUCCGGGAGGAAGUGGCGCUCUAGCUCUGCAGUCCCCAAUUCCCAGGCCAUGGACUGAGCCACACGGCUCGGCCUCACCCCUCCUCCCAUGCCAUCUGCAGAAAAAUUGUCCUGCCUGAAACUUAGGAAAAGGUGGGGGGCGCACAGCAGGAGAGCGGCAGGUGAAGCCACACCUGUGUUUAUAGCUGCUCCCCAUUGUUCGCAUCACCGCCUGAGCUCUGCCUCCUCCGCCCCCGCCUCAGUCUAUGGAAAAAUUGUCUUCCAUGAAGCUAAUCCCUGAUGCCAAAACGGUUAGGGACCGCUGCUAGCUGAUACUCAGGACCAGCAGGAGUGGCAGGCAGGUGGGCACGAGCGGAGGCUGGGUGGCCACAGCACAGCACAUUCCAGGACCUACAAAUAGCUCAGGGUGGCUGGGGUCCCCAGAGAUAGUGCUAGCAGGUGCCACUGGCAGUCGCCUGUGUGGCAGAGAUUGGGGUUGGGAGCAGGUGAUUCCCAGGGGGAGGCUGCCACCUCCCAAGGGCCCCAGUGGCAGGUGGGAGUGGCAGGCGGGAUGCCCACACUGUCCCAAGCACUCUCUAUCUGGGCCUGGCACUGCCUCGGGUCUUGGGCUUGCUGGGUCGGGAAUUCUCCAGCAGAAGUGGGAGUAAGAACCCCAUGUAGGUGGCCCUUUGAGACCUGCAAAAUGUCUGAUUGUGAAAUUAAACAUCCAUUAUGA